UCGUCGCAAGGGCAAAAUUGGUAUUUCACGCACACAACUAUAAAUAGAAAAAAAUUGGAAGCCCUAGUCCCAUUUCUCCCUUGCAGCCGCGUCCUUCUCCUUCCCUCUCCCCCGACCUCUCGCUCUCUCUCUCUCGUUCUCCCUCUGCCAUCACCGGAGACUCCAUCUCCGGCCACCAUCUCACCACAUCACUUCCACCAGUCGACGCAACACCUGAACCCGACCAAAACCCACCCGGAAUCACCGACAUGCAUCGCCGGUAGCCUCCACACGCGACCACCAAAAGCUGCGACACCACUGCCCUUUCUCCUUCGUCGAUUUCCGACCAUCACCAUGCCACACUGACACCACCGUCCGACUCAGUGGACAAGGAAGAGCGAAACCCGUGAGCAUCAUCACUCGUCGAUGUCGGGAAACCGCCGUACCAGCAUCGUCGGAGGCCUCGGCCCUGCAUGCCCUCGUUCUCUACUCUCCAGCUCGGAUCGAGCUAAACAACCUCCGUAGCUGGAAUCAAGGCUUCACGAUGCAUCAAAGCCAUAGACCCUCAGCCUCCGAUUUCGGCCAGAGCCCCCGCACGCGUCUCACGCGCCACCGCUGGCACGUGAGCCAACCUAGCGUCACCGUGAGCACCACCAGCUUAUUCUCUUCGUUCGGUAAGCUGGAUUCUAUCCCUUCUUCUUAGUGAGGCUUCUACUUUGAUCUAGAUUGAGAACCCUAACUCGAUUUCUUAAUUUGAAAUCUGUGAGGAUUUUGGAAUAUGUGUUCUGGAGGUUUUGGAGGAAGGGAGGUCUGCAAAAUUGUAAGCCUUCGGAGAAGAGAAGUGCUGGGUCAGUUCCAUUUGUAUUGAGGAAAGGUGCCCAAAGCAAUUGUUGGAGCUGGAUUGCAGCAAUUGGAUUUAGCCCUCAGUUUGGAGAAGAAGAAAUGGACCCGAGCGUGUGCAUUUGGAAGUGGACAAAGUGUUGAAAGUCGAGAACGAACCCGAAUGUGGGCAAGCACUCCAAUUCCAGUGUGCAGGUUUCGAGCAUGUGGUCGGGAAGCGUACAGGGGAGGCACAUGGCACGGCUUGGCGCAUUUCUCUUUAGUUUUAUCAAAAGAAGGUUUUGGUCCUUAAUCGGAUUUUGUAGUAGCUAGUUUAUUUACUUUUUAUUUAUUUCCUACUCGUUUACAAAAAAAUUCCGGGAGACCCGUAACCCUGGGGCGCG